UACGUAGGGGGCAAGCGUUGUCCGGAUUUAUUGGGCGUAAAGAGCGUGUAGGCGGUUUGGUAGGUCCGCUGUGAAAACUCGAGGCUCAACCUCGAGACGCCGGUGGAAACCAUCAGACUAGAGUCCGGAAGAGGAGAGUGGAAUUCCUGGUGUAGCGGUGAAAUGCGCAGAUAUCAGGAGGAACACCGAUGGCGAAGGCAGAUCUCUGGGCCGUAACUGACGCUGAGGAGCGAAAGCAUGGGGAGCGAACAGG
rnacentral:rRNA from 1 species